UUGAGAGCUUUGAUGGGCCACUUUCCAUAAACACGGGAUGCACUCGGGGCAGCCUGAGCAACAGGAGUGGUCAUCUUGUUGGUGGGGAGGGUGAAUGUAGAUUUUUUUGGAAUAGCCUGGAAAGAGCACAGGCUGAUCCACCAGAGUCCCCGGGUACUAUAAAUACGAAAUAAGGAAGGGAAGCGAGGACAGUACAGGUUAGGAGUGUCUACGCAGGGAAGAGAGAUUCUAGAAGCAACGAACCUCCUCCUCCCCGGGCAGGAGAGGCGAACACUGUGGGAAUACCAGAACGACGGCUGGUUCCUGCAUUUUUGUAACUCAGUUAACCUAUAGGCCCGAGGCCAAAGUCCAGUCGAGAAAAGUUUAUACAAAAUGACGAUCAGAAGUAUCAAUUGAUGGGAUAAAAUGACCAGGUCGUGAGAAUACCAGUAGGAGAGAAUCCCCUCCAUUGUGUCCAGGGCUUGCAGGCUGUCCGGCGCUUAGUAGGACUUUGAAGGGUCUGAGGGCUCCUCCGUGUGGAGUGAGUGAUGGGGAAAGAGGGAGGGUUCAUUCUUUGGGGGCUCUAGAUGGAUUUUGAAGGAGGUCAUUGAAAGGUUUGGACCUGGUGGAGAAGGGAAGGAGAAGUGGGAAUGCACAGCUUGAAUCUUUUAAAAGCAUAAAAUGUGGAGGGCUGCUGGCUCAGGUCAAGUAGCUGAAGAGAACUGAGUGCCAGCCUCUGUCCUCGGGGGUGCAAACUGGGUUAGUGGCCUAUGCUUGUACAUACCAUCAAACCCUAGGUCAUUCCAGUAAACAGGCUCUUAAAAGCUUAUUUCUUUGUCUCUUCCUCCUCAGAAAAAUAGUUGAUUUCUUGAGCCACACAUUACUGAUAGCAGGAAGGUAGAGCCCCGUAGAUAUGUACCCAAGCUUGGCCUAGGAAGGUGAAGGGAUUUGCUCAAGGUCAAAUGGUUGGUUCGUGACACACCAGAUGUCCCUGAUUCGUGAACAGCCUGUAGUGUCCAAGCCUAAAUACUCACUCACUCACUCCUUAACAAUGACUUAUAUGCAGAACUCUUAAGUUAUUUUUCAGAUGAAACUGGGGUAUCUGUUGGAUUAGUGAAAGAUCUUUGAGUAAAUUAUGUCCGUAGACCUGUAUGUCCCUUGGGUAACCACACACUUGCCCAGUAGUGGUAAAGAUAACAGCGUACCCGGGCUGUGGAGGUUCAACCUUGAUGUCUUAUGGAUUCUAAUAACAUGUCUAGGGGCUAGCAAACCCAAAGUUGGAAUUGUAACUGGUUAACACAGGCUGAUAUUCUGCUUAUCUGCCGAGUUGUCAUUAGUAUUUUGAGUACUCUGAUGAAUUGAACAUUAGGGAGGGUGUAUCUGUGUGUGUGUGUCUGUGUUCUGGUGGUGGUGGUGGUGGUGGUAAUUCUUCUGGGAUAAAAUAACUGCUUUUGUCCCUAGUGACUUACUCUGAUAGUCCAAAUGUUCAGAAGGAUAUUUUAUGCUGAAAUGUUGGGAUUUUUCCACAUGGGGAUUAAAAUGUGGGUGGAGUGGUGACUAAAGCCCUGCUGAUAAUUGGUUAACCAGGAAGCCUGUGCUGGCAGCUAAUUUUUAAGGUCAUUGUUCAUUUCUUCCCCUCCUCUUCCCACUACUGUUGGGGGCCCAGGUUUUGACUGUAUUUCAGGUGAUUUUAGUUCUCCUUAAAAAAUCGAUCUCCUAAGCUUUGGGUAAUGAAAUGAAAGAACCAGCUCCUGCUGAAUCAUUCCUGGAUGAAAUAGGAUUUUGUCCUUUUUUUUUUUUUUUUUUCUUUUCAUACUGGCUGCUUUUGCCAGUGACUUGGCUUAAAUCCGCAGCUCGGCCUACCACCCACAAUUCUUUAGCCAACCAAAGAUAUGCAAGAAACUUUAUUUUUCUCAAGUUUACAGAAGACCAGGCUGGGGAGGAGGGAUGUCACUAGGCCUUUCCCCGCAGUUCUCCAUUGUUAGAACAUUACCUUAGUUACCUAGCUUAUGGGUAGUGAUGUAAAGAGGAGCUGGGGAAAAGGUGCAGGUUACACAAGGUAUACACAUGUCAGCAGAAAUCCUGGUUGCAGGGUAACACUGUCAGCUGCCCUUUUGGAGCUCAACUUGAAAGUGGCUGAAUCUCCUAUGGCUGCUGUAAAGCCAGGACUUUAGACUGAAAACAUCAUAAGGCAGAGUUCUCAGGAUGGAAAGUUGCCUGGGCCCAGCUGGAACAAGUGGAGUGGUUACGGGAGGAACUGGGGACAGAGAAGGUUGGGGUUGCAUCACAUCCUUUGCCUGUCAAGUGUUCAGUGUAUCUGAGUGUGAUUUUUUUUUUUUCCCCCCUGCCACCCGCCCCCACUUUCUGUACCCUGCUGCUGCUCUGAGGGUGUAUUCUCUUUGGGUAACUUACUGUUGGUUAAUUUGUAGUUUUCUCUGCCAGUAAGUUUGUAACACUCUGGUGACUCACCUUUGGGUGGGAGGGUAGGAAAGGGGAGGUCUGCAUCAUAAAUCUGAGAAGAUUGAGAGUAGGCUCAGCCUGACAACCCCCCUCCCCCAAAAGGAGGGGGAGGAAUUUUUAAAAACCUAGUAAAAUGUUUAGGCAGGGGAAGAGUAAAGCUUAAAAUACCCAGCCCCCACCCCCUGCCCAAGUGUUAUUCCUAAAUUGCAUUUUAAAAAGAAAAAAGUGGAUUCAACAUUACAUAGCCCAUCCAUUCUCCACCCCAGAACCCUUUUAGAGCAUUGUUUGCUGGCUAUGAUUUUAGCAGUGAAUGAAUAGAUUAGUGACUAGUGACUCUGUUCAGUCAGGCUGUGUUCUUUCACAUAGUAUAUCCAAAUUUAAGACUGACAGUGGCUUUAAAGAUAAUUUUCUUGAAAGGAGUUUGUGUGGAAAAGUAAAACUAGUUUCUUUAUUUAAAACAAAAAGGGUUAUAAAAGCCCCGAAGCGUCCGUUUCUCAUCUGACCCUUAGCUAGAGUACUCACACGUUUAUAGAGUGCAGGGCAAGUGAGAGUGGCACCUGUUAUUGUUGGGCUUUUGGCAUUGAGAGAUCAAGCAUGUAUCAAGUAUGGGUUUGUGCUGUUCACCAGUUAAGUCUUAAGCCUUUUCAAAGCUAGAAAAUAGUUUUUCUCUCACCUGAAAAAAAAAAAAUACUGAGGGUUCGAAAGAAUGGAAAGUAUUAUGAAUUACCCACCCCAGGGAGGCCAAGUGAAAGUGUCAGUGGACUCAGCUGGGAUGAUGGCUUUUUAAGUUCUCAUCUACUUUCACUUUUCAGGUAAAAGGCUUUACAUUUUCAGAGUCUUGGUCAAGGUCGUAUGAAAUGAAAUGGGCUUUUCAGCCCUCUGUGAGGGGUGGGAGGACGAGCAUCUGUGCUGUGGUGCCUCCUCCUAGCUGCCCAGGGCCCUCUGCCAGCCAGCAGGCCAGAAGAAGAAACACGAGUGUCAGAUCAGAUGGCCUCACAGUAAUCAGAGUGGCUGCUUUUGGCCAGCACAACACUGGGCAGAAUGUUUCCCUGGCCCUGCCAGAGCUGUCCAAUUCUGGAUUCCGCUGAAAUUACAUGUCCAGAGAAAUCACUGAAACGAAUGAAGCUCUUGCCAAAAAUCCAGGACUUGUCAUCGCAUUUUGUGGUGAAGAUGGUUGGCUAAUCAAGAUGACACUCAAUAACCAUUCAGAACUAGAUGAGCUAAUUCAGAUGAAGAAGCAGCUGAGAAAUACAUAAUCUGUUGAGAAGUGAAAAUGAAUCCCCUAAAUAAACUAAGUUGAAACAGUUUAAAAUAAAUGCUAAAUAAAUUAA